GGCACCUUUCCUUCAGAGAUAUCUGCUGGUACUGCCAUAUAAUUGCUGUGUCCUCUCUGUCGUUCGUUUGCCAUGGCGUUAUUAUAUUCGUUAUGUGAAGUGUGGUAGAGGGACCGAGUUUUUGCUCGUUAGUUCCCUUUUUUAUAAUAAGGCCCUGUACGACACAUAAAAAGUCACUACAACUCAGCACAUGUGUCAAGAAGGAAUGACGACCAUCUUGAAAAUAUUUCGCGCCAUUAAAAUGGCUUUGUGAUAAAAGGAGAAUAGCGUCAACAUGCAUAACCGAACGAAUAGCAGUCCGUAAUUACUGUAAAUUGCAUGCGCGCGAUUAGAUCAAAGGGCGACACGUAGAACUUUACCAAACGGUUGCUGUGUCCUUUCUUCACUCGCAGGCAAAGAAUCUAAUCCGUUUCCUGCUGAUACAAAAUGAUGCGAGUCACACACACAAAAAAAGAAAAUCUUUUGUCUUGUGCCCUUUUUUGACCUCUCCCUUUCCUACACGCAUGAUGAAAUGACGCCGAACUCACGGCUGAAUGCUUAUAAGCGAAUAACCCACUCAACCAUUAGUAUAGUUACACACUCUUGUCAGUUCUCCAACCAGCUGAUGUUCUCCCCCCCCCCACUCACGACAUUCGUCCCUGAAGAACUUGUUUGAAGUUUAUUCGACUGUAUUUUCCCCAAUUACUAACUACUACAACUACUACUGUCUUCACCCAGCCUUACAUUCAAAGGAGAUGAAAUGAAAUCACUUCGAUGAAGCGUGGUUGCCAUAUGGUGAAUUCGAAGAAAAGUAGACUAAUUGGAUUUACUUUGCUGACGUGACUACAAUUCAAAAAUCUCUGCAAUAUCAGCAGGUUUACAGUAAAAAAAAAAAAAAUCAAAAAUGAUAAAUAUGAAGGGAACGUAACACGAGUGAGGAAGAGAUUGACGUCUUUUCUUAUUGGAUUUCGUUGUUUUUAUUACGACAGCAGACAGCACAAAAGUGUCAGCUGUGAACUGGUUUCAUACCUGUCAAAGUCAAUUUGGACACCAUACACUUUUACUGUCAAUAUUUUAUAAACUUUGUUCUCUUUUUAUCAAAGAAACGUGACACGUUCCGAAUAUCAUCGGAUGUGAAUAGUUUUAUUAUUUCGUCAGGACGUAGAUAAUCAUCUUCACGUGGACACAAGUUUUCAAUGUUAUUGUUACGUCAUCGUAUUUACAAGAGAAUGUUUUAUUUCUUUUUAAAAUAGAACAAAUAAGAACCGUGAUGAUACUA